CAGUCGCCGCGGUAAUACGUAGGGUGCGAGCGUUAAUCGGAAUUACUGGGCGUAAAGCGUGCGCAGGCGGUUAUAUAAGACAGAUGUGAAAUCCCCGGGCUCAACCUGGGACCUGCAUUUGUGACUGUAUAGCUAGAGUACGGUAGAGGGGGAUGGAAUUCCGCGUGUAGCAGUGAAAUGCGUAGAUAUGCGGAGGAGCACCGAUGGCGAAGGCAAUCCCCUGGACCUGUACUGACGCUCAUGCACGAAAGCGUGGGGAGCAAACAGGAUUAGAUACCCGCGUAGUCCCUGUCUCUUAUAC
rnacentral:rRNA from 1 species